AUGACUCCUGUUUUAUUCUCACUGCACACCUCUGCCUGUGAUGAUCCUGAGAAACUCCAUGCCUUGUAACCCAGUGGCAAUAUCAUCAGGGUGGGAGCUGGCUGGCUGCUCAGAUGCCCCCCAAGCAGAGUCUCAUCAUAAGCACCAUGUUUAGGUCUCACCUUUCUGCAAUGUUUGAAUUCACUCAAAGACACAGUUUCAAAAAAUGAACAUUAUUUCAUAACUCUAGAUCUUCCCAAUUACAGGACUAUUCACACUUCCUAAUCAGGGCUCCCUUCCCACAUUAGGACAGGCAGGGGGUCUCCAGCAAGGCCGGCGUUAGGGUGGAGGUGGCUAUGCAGCCCCUGGAGUAUUUGCUGCCCUAGGCCAGAGCACCCUGCCUCUGCCUGCCCAGCAGCAGAGACCCUCUCCAGGGAUUAUUCAGGUCCUGCUGGGAGGAACAAACACCAAGUCACUGGACCUUUCCCCUUCAGACAUGUUUGAAGGACUUCCUAAGUCCCCGUCAGCAACACAUGUACAAACUGUCUCUUGGAGAAGUUACCUUCUACAGAGAGGCACGCCCAUCAGAUUCGCAGAAGGUGAGCUGAUUUUCAGAUUACAGUAGCUCCCUAAGUACCAGAAGAGCCCAGGUGAGAUCUGACGAAAUGGUUCUAGCUUCUCUAUCCACCUGCCCUCCAAGGAGCUGAAGACUUCAGGCUGAGGAGCGCCGGCUGAAAUGGCCGGAAGACGGUACGGAACGGGAAGCAAGGCUUGGCCUCUUAGCAGGGGAGCAGACCUGGUAGUAAGCCGAAGCCACUCUAGGUGUGAAGAAAGAGCCGCAGGCAAGAAGAGCAUGGGACUCAGCUCCCAGAGUCAGAGAUACUGCUUGGCCAGCCCAGGUGCCAGUACUAGGGUAUAGUAGCUGAGUGCAGACCAAAAGGUCUUGUUUCCAGUCCAAGCACCCUUUGUCUGGGCUUGCAUUUAAUCAGCAAAGACGGUUCUGCACUUCUCAGCUCUUUGACCCAGGAAGGCUGGUCCUGAAUCUGUAAAGUCUGUAAAUAAAACUGCAGUUAACUUUGAACAUCACAGGUUUGAACUGUGGGCCCACUUAACACAGAGAUGGUCUUCUGCCUUUGCUGCCCCAAGACAGCAAGUCCAGCCCCGCCUCUUCCUCUUCUUCUUCAGCCUACUCAGUGAAGAUGACAAAGAAUAGGACCUCUAUGAUGAUCCACUUCCACUUAUUCUAUAGUAAAUACAUUUUCCAUUCCUUAUGAUUUUCCUAAUAACGUCUUCUUUUCCCUAGCUUUCUUUAUUGUAGGAAUGCAGUGUAUAACACAUAGAACAUACAAAAUAUGUGUCCAUUGACUGUUUAUGUUAUCAGGAAGGCUUCCAGUCAUCAGUAGGCUAUUAGUAGUUACGUUUUGGGGGAGUCAAAGUUUUAUCUGGAUUUUUGACUGCAAGUUGGCGUGGGGGAGGGGUGUCAACACCCCUAACUCCCUCAUUGCACGAGGGUCAUCUGUAUGCACUGUGGAGCCUUAAUGCAGCCUGCUUCAGCUUUGGCAAGUGCCUCAUCCCAAGCUCCCGUUUCUCCCUCUUGGCCCUACCCACAUGGGCCCUUAUCCCUCACCAUCAUUCAAAUCUCAUCUCCCAUUGUAAAGUCCAGAUGAAUGCAGCUUCCAGAAAUUACCUCAAAAAGAAGGUUUUAUAUGUCUUGGGUCCUCAAAAAAAUAAGAGUUAAUUAAAUUGCCCAGUGCUCCUCUAAAGGAGAAAGGUAGUCAUCUUGGGGACGAUGCACUGUUUUCCCACCAGGCCAAGUCAUAGACCCUGGCAUAGAGCAGACACAGCCUCUGCCUGGCCCGAGGUCUGCUCCAGAAAGUCAGGUAGACUCAGGGCUGUCCAGCCCCACAGGCCCAUCCCCCUCCUGAGCUACUUAUGGGGGCUGGAGGUGUUAGUCUAACGGGGUUCCCCUUCCUAGAGGGGACCUAGAGAGCAGGUGGCCCAGGGGUGAAGUGGGGAGGAGAGGAGGGUGCAGAGCCAGAGUGCUGGUGUGGAGCCAGCCAAUGAGAGACCUGGAUGCAGAGGACAUAGGGGAAACAGAAGCCUGGAGAGCCAAAAAGGACAGAGGGUAGCUCUGAGCUGCAUUGCAUGGAUCCAUAUUCUGCGUGGUGACUAUAAAGCCCUUCCAUCCUUGGCCUCCUGUUCCCCUGCUAGUCCCUGCCCCACCCUUGCUGCUCCACUCCCCAGGCUCCCCAUCCCCACGCACUCCAGGGCCCACUCUUGAUGCUGGACAGUGCUGAGGCUCCUCCCUCCUGCAUGGCUCCUGCCUGUAGCUAUGCAAGAGCAAGGCCAGGCUUCCUACGUGAGGCUCCAACUUCCUUCCUCACUCUUCAAAACUUGCAAAGAAAUUGAUUUGCCCCUUAGAAGCUGUUGUUACUUUUGAGUCUAUGGAGAGACUAAAUGCAGUGAACCCAGCAGAGCAUGCUGGGCAACAGAGGUCCUGAGUCCCAAAUCAGAAUUUCAAGUGGUACAAAAUGAGGCAGUAAACCUGCACGUGGAGGUCUGAUACCGCUUGCAGAAGUGAAUUGAACAGAUGUCUCUCUUUUGGUAAGGAUGUGGUUUUAUUGACUUGAAAUAAGAAUGUUCUCGAGCAACAACCAGUCACCCAUGGGAUGCUGCCACAAGGAAUAAUUGAGCACUGACUCAGACACAGGGGAAACCACUGCCUCUGCCAGUCUUUCUCCCAGAUUCCAACAGUCAGCGUUAAGCAUUUCACCUUGUUCACCUCCCUGAGAAGACGUUGCAGCUCACUUGCCCCAGUGGGCACUGGGAGGCUCUGCUCGGGUGGGAAACAUGCCCCCCAACAUGCACAUCUGGUGAUUCCCUUAUGAAGCAGAUACUGGGGUCCACACAUGAACACAAGGGGCAGGGAAGUAGCCCCAGGGCAUAGUGUGGAGCCUCCUAUGGGAAAACAGGGAUUAGGGAGGGGCAAGGAAGAGGAGUUGGCCAACAGGUGGCAGGUGGCCAUCUAGAUGGUCAUGAUGGUUGAGGGGUCUGGCAUCUCACUUUUCAAAUGUGGGGAUCUGGUAAAUUUCAGUUUCUUGAUACUAUCUGGGAAGACUGCUGGUAGGUUUCCUGAGAAAGGAGCUCAGAUAACACAAAUGUAAAUUUUGCCUUGGAUUUCAAGAAGGGGAGGGUCAAUUUCUAGGUUUAUUCAAGAAAAACCAUAAACCUCAGUUCUAUGGGGCAGUUAGGCCUGUUUCAAGGCUCUGAGGUUAAGGAUUAAUGAGGGGACAGAGUCGCCUGGAGAAGUUCACUGGGGCCUACAAGAAACUACAGAGGCUUUCUGGCAAAGCUCUCUGCUGUCUAUUCUCUCUUCUUUCCUUGCAGGAAGAAUGCAACACCGUUCCAGACCCCAGAGGUGAAAAGGAUUUUGUUCAAUAAGUAGAGAACUGAAGGGGUGUGGGAGGCACAUGGAUUUGAACGAGAGCCCUCUUGGUUUGCAGGCAGAUGCUCAACCUUGAGUUGCACCCUUCACUUGCCAGAACUGUUUCUGAUAAGUGCCUGUGCAGCCACAUCAACACCUCAGUUUCUUCUUGGUCAGUCCACAGGAACAGCCCCACUGCAGACAACCCAUUCAUGCUCUCCUCUUUCCUCUAAACCCCAGCCCCCUUCAACCUGGCAAUCCACAGGCCUACAGCUUCUCCUCUCAAUGGGAAAGACAUCAGCUUGGAAAGCCAUUAACAUUAUCCUAGAAAGGCUUUUUAAAUGACCCAACAGGACAAGUCCUCAGAUGGCCUUGGCCAACCCAGUGCUUCCUUCUUUUCUUGGUUGUAGUUCUCAGAAUAACUGGAGAAUGUGCUGGGAGUGCUGUGUCCUGAGAUAAGGAGGAACUAUCCUAAACCCGGACUCUGUUCCCAUCACACCUAGAACAGGACGCCCUACAGCACUUUAGCCCAAUGAUCCAAAUUGCCAUUGCGGUAGAAAACCAAGAGCAGAGGCUGUUCAGGGUCCCUCAGCUGCAGUGUGAAGUGGGACACACAUAGGGUCUGGACUGAACCCAAGAAAGCCCAUACCAAUAAUUUGAAUCAAUUGACCCCCACCGUGUAGCCCAGGAAUUUCCCCAGCUGUCCCAAAGAAUCUCAGGCCAGAAGCACAACUGGAGCAGCAAGAACAAGAAAUGUCUCCUCUGCUCGGCAGACCCCUGCCCUGAGGCCCAGCACCACAUGUCCUGCAAAGUGAACCUGGCCCCUGGCCAACAUCCUACAUUAAGGCUACUGCUGACAUCAAAAGGCUAUACAGAUCUCAAAAAUGUAGAGAAAGAACACCCACCCAAAGGAUCCCAUGAGAUGGUGGCAGUGCCUGUGAUAACUGUAUCAUGGAGACCAAAGUCAGAAUGCACAGAAGCUCACAAAGGAAAAUGCAAUCUCUUUGUGUUUUUCUACAGUGCCAAACAACAUUGAGCAUAAAAGUUGGGCUGCAAUAAAUAUUUAUUGGAGGGAAGUAAACACAGCAAAAUUGGCAAAGAUAACUAACAACAGGGUUAAUAUAAAUUACUUGAGGUAGCACCAGUCAAAUGAACUCUUGCUGUUUUGGUGUUCAGUUCUCCAAACCUAAGCAUGCAUAUUCUUCUGAACUCAGAUUCUAUCUAUCUUUCUCGCUGGAGGAGAUGAGCUAAUUCACAGCCAUGUGGAGCUCUGUCACUGGCUACUCUCUCUUGUUGGUCUUCUGGCUUCCACAGCAAUGGUCCACUCUUAUUGAAAAGGGAAAAAGCAAGGAAAGAAUUAAAGAAAUCCUUUUUGUUAAAACAGUAAGACUAGUUAAAAUCCCAAAGUCUACAACCAGCAACCAUCAUACUUAAUGGUGCAGCGUUAGAAGCAUUCUCUUAAAAACGAAACGAGACAAAGAUGUGUGGUAGUUUAUUUCUAUUUAAAACCACCGAAAGCUAGAGCUAGUGCAUUUAAGACAAAAAAUAAUAAUAAUAAGGUUUUGAAGUGGAAUAGAAGAAACAGAACACCCAUUAUUUCAGUGAUACUGUGAUUGUGCAGUUGUUGGAUGUUGUGUUACGUAAGUACAAUUUAGAUAAGUUGGUUAAUAGUGUGGUUUAUUCUUACUUUUUUGCUUGUUUGUGCUACUCAUUACUAAGGAAAGAGUACCAAAAUCUCCAGUUAAAAUUGUGUUUGUCAGUUUUCUUUAUGCUUCCCUUGGUUUUUGCUUUAUUUAUUUUGGAACUCUAAUUAGGUACAUAUACAUUUAAGAUUCUUACAUCUUCUUAAUGAAUUAACUGUUUUAUCAUUAUGAAAUAUCCAUCUUUAUUGCUGGACAUAUUUCUUAUUAUAAAGUCUACUUUGUUAAUAUAGCCUCUCUAGCUUUCUUA